GACGCAGCAUGCCGCGUGAUGAGAAGGCCUUCGGGUUGUAAAGUUCUUUCGGUAUUGAGGAAGGGGUGUAUGUUAAUAGCAUACAUUAUUGACGUUAAAUACAGAAGAAGCACCGGCUAACUCCGUGCCAGCAGCCGCGGUAAUACGGAGGGUGCGAGCGUUAAUCGGAAUAACUGGGCGUAAAGGGCACGCAGGCGGUUAUUUAAGUGAGGUGUGAAAGCCCCGGGCUUAACCUGGGAAUUGCAUUUCAGACUGGGUAACUAGAGUACUUUAGGGAGGGGUAGAAUUCCACGUGUAGCGGUGAAAUGCGUAGAGAUGUGGAGGAAUACCGAAGGCGAAGGCAGCCCCUUGGGAAUGUACUGACGCUCAUGUGCGAAAGCGUGGGGAGCAAACA
rnacentral:rRNA from 1 species